UUGCAUCUGACAGACCCAGAGCAGUUUGUGUCUGGGCAAAGGUUCCCACUACAGAUGCUAGAAAAAGAAGGUCCUCGUGCUUUUUGUCUGACUGUGGCAGCCAAGGUUGAAUGGGGGAAUGCAGGA
rnacentral:snoRNA from 1 species